rnacentral:rRNA from 1 species
GACGAACGCUGGCGGCGUGCUUAACACAUGCAAGUCGAGCGGAGCGGCGAACGGGUGAGUAACGCGUGAGCAAUCUGCCUUACACAAAGGGAUAGCCUCGGGAAACCGGGAUUAAUACCAUAUGGUGUAAGAUGAGCUCGCGUCCCAUUAAUUAGUUGGUGAGGUAACGGCCCACCAAGAUAGCGAUGGGUAGCCGAUCUAAGAGGAUGACCGGCCACAUUGGAACGGAGAAACGGUCCAAACUCCUACGGGAGGCAGCAGUGGGGAAUAUUGCACAAUGGGGGAAACCCUGAUGCAGCGACGCCGCGUGAGCGAUGAAGGCUUUCGAGUCGUAAAGCUCUGUCCUAUGGGAAGCGGUACCAUAGAAGAAAGCCCCGGCUAAGUACGUGCCAGCAGCCGCGGUAAUUC